GGUAAAGCUGAUUGGGGUUGGAGCUGGAAAGAACGAUGGAUAGCUGCUCGUCCGUGGGAAAGCCGUGUACCAUCUCAGUUCGAUAGUCCAAAGAAAUCUACAAUUAGGCAAUCAAGCAAAGUCAGUAAGAGAAACUCUCCAUCCCCUAAAGCACGAGUUUCAAUUAAACCUCCUUCCCCAAAUGUGAAAUCAACUUCAAAGGCUCGAAGGUUGUCUUAUCCAGCAACCGAGAAAACCGAAAAACUGGCUACAGAAG
rnacentral:misc_RNA from 1 species